rnacentral:rRNA from 1 species
GACUGACCGAUAGUGAACCAGUACCGUGAGGGAAAGGCGAAAAGAACCCCGGCGAGGGGAGUGAAAAAGAACCUGAAACCGUGUACGUACAAGCAGUGGGAGCACAGAGCAAUCUGUGUGACUGCGUACCUUUUGUAUAAUGGGUCAGCGACUUAUAUUCUGUAGCAAGGUUAACCGAAUAGGGGAGCCGAAGGGAAACCGAGUCUUAACUGGGCGUUAAGUUGCAGGGUAUAGACCCGAAACCCGGUGAUCUAGCCAUGGGCAGGUUGAAGGUUGGGUAACACUAACUGGAGGACCGAACCGACUAAUGUUGAAAAAUUAGCGGAUGACUUGUGGCUGGGGGUGAAAGGCCAAUCAAACCGGGAGAUAGCUGGUUCUCCCCGAAAGCUAUUUAGGUAGCGCCUCGUGAAUUCAUCUCCGGGGGUAGAGCACUGUUUCGGCAAGGGGGUCAUCCCGACUUACCAACCCGAUGCAAACUGCGAAUACCGGAGAAUGUUAUCACGGGAGACACACGGCGGGUGCUAACGUCCGUCGUGAAGAGGGAAACAACCCAGACCGCCAGCUAAGGUCCCAAAGUCAUGGUUAAGUGGGAAACGAUGUGGGAAGGCCCAGACAGCCAGGAUGUUGGCUUAGAAGCAGCCAUCAUUUAAAGAAAGCGUAAUAGCUCACUGGUCGAGUCGGCCUGCGCGGAAGAUGUAACGGGGCUAAACCAUGCACCGAAGCUGCGGCAGCGACGCUGAUGCGUUGUUGGGUA